rnacentral:rRNA from 1 species
AUUGAACGCUAGCGGCAUGCCUAACACAUGCAAGUCGAACGGCAGCGCAGGGAGCUUUGCUCCCAGCCGGCGAGUGGCGGACGGGUGAGUAAUACGUAGGAAUUCUCCCUAUAUAGUUAGUGGGGGGAUAACCCGGGGAAACCUCGGGCUAAUACCGCAUAAUCUCCUCAUGCAAAGCGGGGGUUUCUCGGCCCCCCCGCUAUAAGAUGAGCCUAUGUCGGAUUAGCUUGUUGGUGAGGGUAAUGCCUACCAAGGCGACGAUCCGUAGCUGGUCUGAGAGGACGAUCAGCCACACUGGGACUGAGACACGGCCCAGACUCCUACGGGAGGCAGCAGUGGGGAAUCUUGGACAAUGGGGGGAACCCUGAUCCAGCAAUGCCGCGUGUGUGAAGAAGGCCUUAGGGUUGUAAAGCACUUUCAAUAGGGAAGAAGUCUCUAGGGAUACACCCCUGAGGAUUGACGUUACCUAUAGAAGAAGCACUGGCUAACUCUGUGCCAGCAGCCGCGGUAAUACAGAGAGUGCGAGCGUUAAUCGGAAUCACUGGGCGUAAAGCGCGCGUAGGUUGAUAUUUAAGUCGGAUGUGAAAGCCCUGGGCUUAACUUAGGAAUUGCAUCCGAUACUGGAUAUCUCGAGUAUGGUAGAGGGAAGUGGAAUUUCCGGUGUAGCGGUGAAAUGCAUAGAUAUCGGAAAGAACACCAGUGGCGAAGGCGGCUUCCUGGACUAAUACUGACACUGAGGUGCGAAAGCGUGGGGAGCAAACAGGAUUAGAGACCCUGGUAGUCCACGCCGUCAACGAUGAGAACUAGCUGUUGGAAAGUUUUCUUUUUAGUAGCGAAGCUAACGCGUUAAGUUCUCCGCCUGGGGAGUACGGCCGCAAGGCUAAAACUCAAAGAAAUUGACGGGGGCCCGCACAAGCGGUGGAGCAUGUGGUUUAAUUCGAUGCAACGCGAAAAACCUUACCUACCCUUGACAUCCUCAGAACUUGUCAAAAAUGGCUUGGUGCCUUUGGGAACUGAGUGACAGGUGCUGCAUGGCUGUCGUCAGCUCGUGUCGUGAGAUGUUGGGUUAAGUCCCGUAACGAGCGCAACCCUCGUCCUUAGUUGCCAGCGAUUCGGCCGGGAACUCUAAGGAGACUGCCGGUGAUAAACCGGAGGAAGGCGGGGAUGAUGUCAAGUCAUCAUGGCCCUUACGGGUAGGGCUACACACGUGCUACAAUGGGCGGUACAAAGGGUGGCCAAGCCGCGAGGUGGAGCCAAUCCCAAAAAACUGCUCUUAGUCCGGAUUGAAGUCUGCAACUCGACUCCAUGAAGUUGGAAUCGCUAGUAAUCGCGAAUCAGAAUGUCGCGGUGAAUACGUUCUCGGGCCUUGUACACACCGCCCGUCACACCAUGGGAGUG